CAGCCUCCGGCGUUGGAGCUGAGGGUUGCGUUUACGGCUGCGGCGUGCCGGAAAGUGCAUUUGCUGGGGCGAAUCUUUCUUUGCGGAUUUCGAGAAGGAAGGGGGCCGCCGACUACGCGACUGGGUCAAGUGGCUGACACCGGGUCGGCUUCCUGGGCCGCCACCGCUUAGACCAGCGUGGGGCUGGGCUCAAUUGGCAGUUUAGAAAAAGAGGUGUAUUACAUAUAAAAGUGGAUAUUUUCCAUGAUAAAUGAAAAUGGCCAAUUCUUUAAGAGGAGAAGUAUUGAAUCUUUAUAAGAAUGUAACUGCUGUAUCUUGGACGAGACUAUCCAAAAGGAGCAGACUAUUUCAAAAGGCGUCUGAAGAAUGUUUUCCUUAAAAACAAAGAUGUGAAGGACCCAGAGAAGAUCAAAGAACUUAUUGAACGGGGC